AUACCUCAAACCAGUCCGGAAGACACAAACGCGGCGACGGCGUGGUGUAGCAAGAUCCUGGAAAACGUUAAAAAAAAACAAAAAUGAGUUACGGUCGUCCCCCACCUGACACAGAUAGUAUGGUUUCUCUUAAAGUGGAUAACCUCACUUACCGCACCACACCAGAGGAUUUGAGACGAGCGUUUCAAAAAUACGGUGAAGUGGGUGACGUGUACAUUCCUAGAGACAGAUUUAGCCGUGAGAGUAGAGGCUUUGCUUUCGUGAGGUACUUUGAUAAGCGAGAUGCUGAAGAUGCACUGGAUGCAAUGGACGGCACAGUGAUGGAUGGCAGGGAACUGCGUGUGCAGAUGGCCAGAUAUGGACGGCCCACUGAUCCAUACAGGCGUUCAUCAUCCAGAAGACAUGGCAGAAGAUCCAGAAGUCGGUCAAGAUCAAGGUCUCGUUCCCGGUCUCCUCGUCGUCGUCGAUCCAGGAGCAGGAGCAAAUCAUAUGACAGCAGGUCUCGAUCUAGAAGUCGGAGCAAGAGCCGCUCCAGAAGCAGGUCUCGCUCGCACAAAUCAUCCAGGUCUCGUUCAAGGUCGAGAUCAGCAGAGAAACGAGAAACUAAGGAAUGAAGAAUGUGGUUGAAACCCAGAUAUUGAACCAUAAACAGCUGCACUCAGUGACAUUGACGUUGUACUUGGCAGACUUUGGCUGCGAUAGUUUGAAAGGAGCAGUAAGCAGUAGUAAAAGCAGAACUGCUGGGGUUGGGGUUGUGUAGCAGCCCAGACCGUUAUGCUGUAGUAGCAGUACAACAGCCUUGAGGCAGUCCGGUGCUGUUUAUGCUGAGCUGUAGGCUGUUAAAGUUGCGGAGCAGUUUUGCAGUUGUAACGCUGUCCGUAGCAGUCUGCAGAUUAAUAAAGCUGAUGAUGAAAGAUGCAGAAUAUGCUGAACACUGAAGGUCUUCUUGCUAACCUCAGUUGAAAUAAUUCAUGAAAUAUCAGUUUUAUUAUUUUAAGUGGUAAAUAUUUUCAAAAGUAAAUGCAAUUUUUUUUUAAUAAUUAUGAAAUGUUUUCUCUGGAAACCGCCUAACAAAAGUUGAAAGACCAUUUCAAAAACUUUUAUAAUCAUUUGCAAACUACUUUCUUAAAUGCUGUACAGACAGACUGAAGUGUUGAAGCUUGUGACUGCUUACAGAUUCCUGCUAAUUGUUUUUUUGAGUGGGUAUGUAGGAGUUCAGAUGCAAGUUUGUUGGAAUGUUUGCAUAUAAAGUUCCAUGUUUGUGGAGCAAACUCUUACAUUUUUCAAGCAAUGUUAUUGAAACUUUAUGUCAUUGUCAUGAAGUGUUGAUGUGCACGACAACUUUUUCAUGCAAAGUGAUACAAACGUUGCUUAAUUAUGUACCAUUAAACAUAGCCAUUUAGACCCUCAA